AAUGAACGCUGGCGGCGUGCUUAACACAUGCAAGUCGUACGAGAACGCUUCAGCUUGCUGAAGCAAGUAAAGUGGCGCACGGGUGUGUAACGCGUGGGUAAUCUACCUUCGAAUCGGGGAUAACUCGCCGAAAGGCGUGCUAAUACCGGAUGAUAUCUUUGUUACCUCGGUAACGAAGAUCAAGGGUGGCCUCUUCAUGAAAGCUACUGUUUGAAGAUGAGCCCGCGUACCAUUAGCUAGUUGGUAGGGUAAUGGCCUACCAAGGCGACGAUGGUUAGCUGGUCUGAGAGGAUGAUCAGCCACACUGGAACUGACACACGGUCCAG
rnacentral:rRNA from 1 species